UACGUAGGGGGCAAGCGUUGUCCGGAAUCAUUGGGCGUAAAGAGCGCGUAGGCGGUCCGGUAAGUCCGCUGUGAAAGUCAAGGGCUCAACCCUUGAAUGCCGGCCGAUACUGCCGGGCUAGAGUCCGGAAGAGGUGAGUGGAAUUCCUGGUGUAGCGGUGAAAUGCGCAGAUAUCAGGAGGAACACCGAUGGCGAAGGCAGCUCACUGGGACGGUACUGACGCUGAGACGCGAAAGCGUGGGGAGCAAACAGG
rnacentral:rRNA from 1 species